UACGUAGGGUGCGGGCGUUGUCCGGAAUUAUUGGGCGUAAAGGGCUCGUAGGCGGUUUGUCGCGUCGGGAGUGAAAACCUACAGCUUAACUGUGGGCUUGCUUUCGAUACGGGCAGACUAGAGGUAUGCAGGGGAGAACGGAAUUCCUGGUGUAGCGGUGAAAUGCGCAGAUAUCAGGAGGAACACCGGUGGCGAAGGCGGUUCUCUGGGCAUGAUCUGACGCUGAGGAGCGAAAGUGUGGGGAGCGAACAGG
rnacentral:rRNA from 1 species